rnacentral:lncRNA from 1 species
GCAACCCCUCCUUUUUCUGUGUGGCAGUUGCAACGCCUCCUUUUUCGGCGUGUCAGUUGCUAUGUGGCAGUUGCAACCCCUCCUUUUUCUGUGUGGCAGUUGAAAAUGAAAGUACCUCCAACCGGUUCCCUCCUGCAACCAAUCAGACUGAUUUGCGCAGAAUGAACCAGUGGGAAACCUAUAGAGGAUAAAACACAGAAGGGAGCACAGAGCUGCCUGGUCCUGCAGCUCUCCUGGAGUGAGGUGGUGCUGCUAACCACUGGAAGCUGAAGUCCAGAGGCUCUAUUCAGUCAAGGGGUGAUGAACUCUCUUUGGGUCUGGAGACAGGCUGGAACUGGGAUGAGAUAUGGAGACCCUGCCAUUUACGACAACGUGGAUGUAUCUGCAGGACAUUAAGACAAGUGCAAUAAGCAAGACACGGAAAGAAAAUAUAGCAUGGUCUCUCUUAUAUGUGGAAUUUUAAAAAUUAACUCUGAAUACUUUGGAUUAAACUGAUGCAGCAGUCAUCCAAGAGAUGUCCACAUAUGUACUCCUGUUAAUGUUAGUUCCUUUCAUCCAAGCCAUCAGAGGUUCUCCCUGGAUCUCAUUUUUGGGCUCUGAAAAAUCAAAUCUGUCCAUGGCAGUGCUAGCAUACUGUCUAUUAGAUUAAAUGAAGCUGUAAGCAUCUUUGAAGUACAAAUGAUACUUGGAAAGUAAAUGAAACUGGGAAUACUUGCAAGUAAAAUAUGGGAAGUCAAAGAGAUUAAAGGAUGAGAACCAGAAAUUGCUUAUGGCCAGUGUCCUGAGUAAGCCUCAGAAUCGCAUCCUAGAAGCAUCAAGUUCUUGUGUUACCCUAUGGAUCUAAAAAACGACUUCCUUAGUUUGAUGUAGUCUGCAGACAUCUCAUCAUCACAAAAACUUGAAAGCACUUACAGCACUAAGAAACUACCUUUGCAGAUUGUAAAAAAAGAUAGAAUCCUACUUAGUGUUUUGAUCACACCUGCCUAUUUCCCCAAGGUUUUACUGCAGGGUUAAAGAAUGAAUAAGCAUCUAGUUAUAUUUAAUAAACUCCAUGCCUUAUGGCUGAUUCUAAAGGCA